UUUCCGUAGGUGAACCUGCGGAAGGAUCAUUAUCGUACAACGGGGGUGCGAGGGCUGUCGCUGACCCUUCGAAAGGUCGUGCACGCUCGAGCACUCUCAUAAAUCCAUCUCACCCCUUUGUGCAUCACCGCGUGGGUCCCCUUUGCAGGAGGGCUCACGUUUUCACACAAAACUUGAUACAGUGUAGAAUGUUAUCUUUGCGGUCACACGCAAUCAAUACAACUUUCAACAACGGAUCUCUUGGCUCUC
rnacentral:misc_RNA from 1 species